rnacentral:rRNA from 1 species
GACGAACGCUGGCGGCGUGCCUAAUACAUGCCAGUAGAACGCUGAAGGAGGAGCUUGCUUCUCUGGAUGAGUUGCGAACGGGUGAGUAACGCGUAGGUAACCUACCUGGUAGCGGGGGAUAACUAUUGGAAACGAUAGCUAAUACCGCAUAAGAGUAGAUGUCGCAUGACAUUUGCUUAAAAGGUGCAAUUGCAUCACUACCAGAUGGACCUGCGUUGUAUUAGCUAGUUGGUGAGGUAACGGCUCACCAAGGCAACGAUACAUAGCCGACCUGAGAGGGUGAUCGGCCACACUGGGACUGAGACACGGCCCAGACUCCUACGGGAGGCAGCAGUAGGGAAUCUUCGGCAAUGGACGGAAGUCUGACCGAGCAACGCCGCGUGAGUGAAGAAGGGUUUCGGAUCGUAAAGCUCUGUUGUAAGAGAAGAACGAGUGUGAGAGUGGAAAGUUCACACUGUGACGGUAUCUUACCAGAAAGGGACGGCUAACUACGUG